GCAUGCCAGCACCCCAUGGAAGAUUCGAUGGACAUGGACAUGAGCCUCCUGAGGCCCCAGAACUAUCUUUUCGGUUGUGAACUAAAGGCUGACAAGGAUUAUCACUUUAAGGUGGAUAAUGAUGAAAAUGAGCACCAGUUAUCUUUAAGAACGGUCAGUUUAGGAGCUGGUGCAAAGGAUGAAUUGCACAUUGUUGAAGCAGAGGCAAUGAAUUAUGAAGGCAGUCCAAUUAAAGAUGACGAUGAUGACGAAGAUGAUGAUGAUGAUGAUUUUGAUGAUGAGGAAGCUGAAGAAAAGGCUCCAGUAAAGAAAUCUAUACGAGAUACUCCAGCCAAAAAUGCACAAAAAUCAAACCAGAAUGGAAAAGACUCAAAACCAUCAACACCAAGAACAAAAGGUCAAGAAUCUUUCAAAAAACAGGAAAAGACGCCCAAAACACCGAAAGGACCUAGUUCUGUAGAAGACAUUAAAGCAAAAAUGCAAGCAAGUAUAGAAAAAGGUGGUUCUCUUCCCAAAGUGGAAGCCAAGUUCAUCAAUUAUGUGAAGAAUUGCUUCCGGAUGACUGACCAAGAGGCUAUUCAAGAUCUCUGGCAGUGGAGGAAGUCUCUUUAAGAAAAUAGUUUAAACAGUUUGUUAAAAUUUUCCAUCUUAUUUCAUUUCUGUAACAGUUGAUAUCUGGCUGUCCUUUUUAUAAUGCAGAGUGAGAACUUUCCCUACUGUGUCUGAUAAAUGUUGUCCAGGUUCCAUUGCCAAGAAUGUGUUGUCCAAAAUGCCUGUUUAGUUUUUAAAGAUGGAACUCCACCCUUUGCUUGGUUUUAAGUAUGUAUGGAAUGUUAUGAUAGGACAUAGUAGUAGUGGUGGUCAGACAAAUGGAAAUGGUGGGGAGACAAAAAUAUACAUGUGAAAUAAACUCAGUAUUUUAAUAAAGUAAAAAAA